rnacentral:lncRNA from 1 species
GUAACGUUAUGUGGCUCAUGACUGUAUAACUUAUUGAAUAUUAUGGAAUGUGAUUUGAUCUAAACUCAAAACAAUGUCAGUAUAUCUAGGCGGUUCAGGUCCGGUGGAGAUGGUGGUGGUGAGAUGCAGGGAGAUGGAGAGAAAAAUGGGAGCACCACCUUUCUUUACAAAGCCAAAAGCUACAUCCCCAUUGACCUAGAUGUCAUAAGAGUUUUUUUUCCCCAAAGGGCACCAUGAUGGAGAAUCGGCUUUCCCAAGGACACACAUACCUUUGUCACACCAAGCACCACCUUGUCCUCAGACUGUUCUUGUACUGGCUUUGUUUACAAGCCAGAUUUUUUUUAAAAUGAGAAAAAUCAAAUGUUCACUUAAGAAGUGAAAUUUGAAUAAAAUUACAGUUUCAGGCAAAGCCUAUAUUAUUUUUAAAAUCAGCGAAUAAAGCAAGGGAUAUUAAAUCAUGAUCUUCACCU